rnacentral:lncRNA from 1 species
AUUCCAAAGAAAUUUGUAUCUGGUUUCAAAGAAACAGUGUGUCACUAGGGUGAGCGGUUCAAUGGUUGAAUGUAGAUAAUGGAUCAUGAAAGGCAUGAAUGAUGCCCUAAUGCGGAAGGUUAAUAAUUAGGAUUAUGCUCGCCAAGGAUUCACAUCCUCGUGCCUAUGUAUUAUCAUCGUGCAAUGAGAAAGUCAUAGAAUUUGUAGUUUGUGGAACCACGAAAACAAAGGAAGAGAUAAGGAAGUGUUUGCCUAGGCAAAUAGGACUAAUAAGACAAACAACUUCAAGGGUAUAAUUGAAGUGAUGAAUAAGAUAACUUGCACCAACAAAAUAGUAACAUGGGAACCCACAAAGGAGAGUGAACUUUGAACCAAAGAGUAAACAGGCGUCUUAGCCAAAAAGAAGGAAUUAAAUGUUUGGGUACGAGCUAAACAACUCUUGGUUCACAAGGUGGACUGCUGCUAUAUCAUCCUAAAAGGGUAUAUACGGGGCCCAAAAGAAAGUAUUGUUGGGUACAAGGAACAGUAUAUCACUGGAUGGGGAACGAACAAUUUGAGAUCAAAGAUGAAUGGUAUCUUGGAUCAAUGAAGGAAUAGACUCUGAACCGAGGAGUA